rnacentral:tRNA from 2 species
GGGGCUAUAGCUCAGUAGGAUAGAGCAGCGGUUUCCUAAACCGCGCGCCGGAGGUUCGAUUCCUCUUAGUCCCA